CCGCCUUGGACGGAGUCUCGGGCCUGCUUUUCUGUGUUUUCUCUACCCCUUACUCUGGCUUCUGGAUAGCCUUUGGAAUAUUCCAGGAGAUAGCUGGGCCUCCAGAGAGAGCAGGCUGCAGGGUGUGGGCCCGGACUCCCCUUGCCUGGCGGGUUUUCCCGGUCAGCGUUCCUGCUGCUCCCCCUCAUCCCUCCUGCUCUGCAGCCUUUUUCUCUGGUUCAGACCCACACUCUGCUUUCCCACUGCCUGGGCUUGCUGAGCUCUCCGUUUUGGCUUGAAGGCCUCGCCCGAGCCCUGUCACCGGCUCUGCCUGUCAGAAGGACCCGAGUAUGCAGCGUCGGUGGGGCUGCCUGACACUGACCUCUGGGGUUGUAAAGGUCCCGGAGGGUCCUAAGUCCGGCCUGACGUGGCUGAGAUGGCAAGAGCCGGAACGUUUCUGUAAAAUCUGAAAGCCCUUGAUGGGGCCGAGGGGGUGAGGAGGAUUCCCACCCUGUGUGGACAGGAGCGCUCAGCAGCGGAGUGACUCCACCAAAGAUCCUGCAGAUCAUUCAGCUGGACCUAGACCUGAAGUUUAAGACCAACAUCCGGGAGUUGUUUGAGGAAUUUGACAGUUUCCUGCCAGGCGCCAUCAUCGGCAUAGCCCGGGAGAUGCAGCCAGUUUACAGGCACACGUUCUGGCAGUUCCGCCAUGAGAACCCCCAGACCAGGGUUGGGGGCCCGCCCCCCGAGGGGCUGCCGGG
rnacentral:sRNA from 1 species